GCGAUGGUCCAGGUUGUUUGGGAAUCGAUUUCUUUCCAGAGAGAAAAGGUGGGAGUAAGUGAGGCAAGCAGGUCUCUGCGCUCCCUCUCCACGGAGAUGAUCUCCUUUAUUACCAUGGUUUGGGAUCGGUGCUUCAUCUUCUCCGGCGAAUCCGUCUCGAUCGCCUUACUACCGCCGGACUCGCUCUCCAUCUCCGCCGCCUGGUCCUGGUCCUAGCUAACAAUCGAUCUCUACGUACACCGUCCUAGCCAGGCCACUAGCUAAGAAUCGAUCUCUACGUACACCGUCCGCUGCAAUAUAUAUAUAAUGCCUCGCUACCAACACCACCAACCCUGGCUCAAUUGUUU
rnacentral:lncRNA from 1 species